AUUGAACGCUGGCGGCAGGCCUAACACAUGCAAGUCGAGCGGAUGAAGGGAGCUUGCUCCUGGAUUCAGCGGCGGACGGGUGAGUAAUGCCUAGGAAUCUGCCUGGUAGUGGGGGAUAACGUCCGGAAACGGGCGCUAAUACCGCAUACGUCCUGAGGGAGAAAGUGGGGGAUCUUCGGACCCCACGCUAUCAGAUGAGCCUAGGUCGGAUUAGCUAGUUGGUGGGGUAAAGGCCUACCAAGGCGACGAUCCGUAACUGGUCUGAGAGGAUGAUCAGUCACACUGGAACUGAGACACGGUCCAGACUCCUACGGGGGGCAGCAGUGGGGAAUAUUGGACAAUGGGCGAAAGCCUGAUCCAGCCAUGCCGCGUGUGUGAAGAAGGUCUUCGGAUUGUAAAGCACUUUAAGUUGGGAGGAAGGGCAGUAAGUUAAUACCUUGCUGUUUUGACGUUACCAACAGAAUAAGCACCGGCUAACUUCGUG
rnacentral:rRNA from 1 species